rnacentral:rRNA from 1 species
GACGAACGCUGGCGGCGUGCUUAACACAUGCAAGUCGAACGGAAAGGCCCUGCUUUUGUGGGGUGCUCGAGUGGCGAACGGGUGAGUAACACGUGAGUAACCUGCCCUUGACUUUGGGAUAACUUCAGGAAACUGGGGCUAAUACCGGAUAGGAGCUCCUGCUGCAUGGUGGGGGUUGGAAAGUUUCGGCGGUUGGGGAUGGACUCGCGGCUUAUCAGCUUGUUGGUGGGGUAGUGGCUUACCAAGGCUUUGACGGGUAGCCGGCCUGAGAGGGUGACCGGCCACAUUGGGACUGAGGUACGGCCCAGACUCCUACGGGAGGCAGCAGUGGGGAAUAUUGCACAAUGGGCGGAAGCCUGAUGCAGCAACGCCGCGUGCGGGAUGACGGCCUUCGGGUUGUAAACCGCUUUCGCCUGUGACGAAGCGUGAGUGACGGCAAUGGGUAAAGAAGCACCGGCUAACUACGUG